rnacentral:rRNA from 1 species
AUUGAACGCUGGCGGCAUGCCUUACACAUGCAAGUCGAACGGCAGCACGGGUGCUUGCACCUGGUGGCGAGUGGCGAACGGGUGAGUAAUACAUCGGAACGUACCUUAUCGUGGGGGAUAACGCAGCGAAAGCUGUGCUAAUACCGCAUACGCCCUGAGGGGGAAAGCGGGGGACCGAAAGACCUCGCGCGAUUAGAGCGGCCGAUGCCUGAUUAGCUUGUUGGUGGGGUGAAAGCACACCAAGGCGACGAUCAGUAGCUGGUCUGAGAGGACGAUCAGCCACACUGGGACUGAGACACGGCCCAGACUCCUACGGGAGGCAGCAGUGGGGAAUUUUGGACAAUGGGGGCAACCCUGAUCCAGCAAUGCCGCGUGAGUGAAGAAGGCCUUCGGGUUGUAAAGCUCUUUUGUCAGGGAAGAAGCACCGGCUCUAACACAGUCUGGGAAUGACGGUACCUGAAGAAUAAGCACCGGCUAACUACGUGCCAGCCGCCGCUGUAA